rnacentral:rRNA from 1 species
AACGAACGCUGGCGGCAUGCCUAACACAUGCAAGUCGAACGAGACCUUCGGGUCUAGUGGCGCACGGGUGCGUAACGCGUGGGAAUCUGCCCUUGGGUACGGAGUAACAGUUAGAAAUGACUGCUAAUACCGUAUAAUGACUUCGGUCCAAAGAUUUAUCGCCCAGGGAUGAGCCCGCGUAGGAUUAGCUUGUUGGUGAG